CAGUCAGGACUCAGCAUGAACAUGAGGGUCCCCACUCAGCUCCUCAGCCUCCUGCUGCUCUGGCUCCCAGGUGCCAGGUGUGACAUCCAGAUGACCCAGUCUUCAUCCAUCCUGCCAGCAUCCCCAGGAGACACAGUCAGAAUCCACUGCCGGGCCAGCCAGAGUGUUAUCAACAACUUACACUGGUACCAGCAGAAGCCACAUCAGGCUCCAAAGCUCAUAGUGAAGUAUGCUUCUCAGACCAUUUCAGGAGUCCCAUCCCGCUUCAGUGGCAGUGGAUCAGGGACAGAUUUCAUUCUCACCAUCAGUAAUCUGGAGCCUGAAGAUACUGCCACUUAUUAUUGUCAGCAGAGUAACAGCUACCCUCACACAGUGCUAUAA